GGGCUGCGGGGAGGGGGGCUGUGCCUUGGGGGGGUCCCCCGACCUCUGUCGCCGACCAACUUUCUCCUCCCGCCGCCGGGACUUCGCCCCUCCCUCGUCUCUCCCCGCCGUUCGCCUCUCGCCGAUUCUCCCCCUUUUGGAUCGUCUCUCCCUCGCCUUGGAUCCCAUCCAGUGUUUAUUUGGCUCUUUAAAAAUCAUUUGUGAGCGCGGCGCUCGGCGUGGAAUUUGCAUGUGGAAGUCUCAGAGCUGCCGAUUCUGGGUCGCACUUCGAACGCCCACCCUCUGUUGCAAUCACAGCCCCCUUCCCCUCCCCUUUUUCCCCCUUUUUUUCCCUAAAUGUGGAAGGCUUUGCCUUGUGCAGCCCGCGCCUGCGAUAAGCAGUCUUUUCCUCCCUUGUCGGAUCGCUGCCCGCCCGCCGUCCUUUAGAAUUAAAAAAAAAAAAAAUUCCAUAAUGACACCUGCAAUUUCGCCCGAAAACAGUUGAUUGAAUGUGAUUAUGCCAGUGUAGGACUCUUGCAUUGAAAGCUCCCGCGAUUGUAAACAUCCGACAGCCGCCUGCCUCUCGGGGCUUACUACGCUGGAGAGUCGUAAAGCCUUUGCACCGAGCCGACGGAAGGUGGAGAAAGCUUUUUCUUCUUUCUCUCCUCCUGUGUCUUUUAAAAACUGUUUUCUCUAUCCUAACAACGAAUCCACACACACACACACACAAAAGCAACAAGCUGGGAGGUUUGAUAACAUCGCUUUUAUCUGCUUUCGCCUCUCUCGCGCACUCUCUCUUUGAUAAUUGACAACUUUUCCUUGGGAUUUGAAUCGCCUGCCUUAAUUUCGAAGCAGUUAGGGUGUCAAUUGUUCUCCGGGAAGCCUGGCACCCGGCGACGGCGACUAGAUUCAUCGAAAUUAAAAAUGUAUCGGGCUCCAGCAACUCUUUCCUGGCGGUGGCAGUGACAUUUGGUGGUAAAUGCCAUCUUUGCUUUUUAUUGGGUCGUAUUACCUAGCUCUGAAAACAUUCACCUUAUUAAACCUGGCGUUUAGGCUAAUAAUUGCAGUGCGUGGUCUUUAAAUAUGUGCUUUGUGUAUGAGUUACUGUAUGUAUAGCUAUGUGCCCGGGAGACUACGAAUUUGUUUAAAUAUUGAGCAAAUAUUUGUAAACAGAUGUAAGGCAAUUAUGUUUCAAGCGUACAAUAUAAUUGGAAAAUUGGCUGAACCGUUUGUUUAAUUUAGCCUUAAAAAAAACUUAUUUUAAGUUGUCUGCCCUUUUUGGGGGCACUGCAUUUUGGAGAGCAUGCAUUUUGGAAAUUAUUUUCUGUAACCUCUGCUGUAGAUAGAAGUAUUAUUUCCUUUUAAUCUUUGUUUACACUGGAUAAAUAAUUUGGUGUUCAAAUUGUAAUUAGUUACAUUUAAUUAUGGGUAGCAUGGAUGCUUCUUUUCUUUGAGACUAGUGAAGAAAUACAAAUUCUUGCCAACUUUUCAAAUGUGUAAUUUAUUAAAUGUUUCCUUAUGCAUAUAAAAAAUAUCAAAACAUGUGACUUUUAUCUACAAAGACCAAAUGACAUAGUAAGCGUGCUUUCAUUGUUGUGAGAUCAGGCCAUUUUUUCUCUUCCAAUAUUUUUAUUCAGAUAUUUAAUCGUAAAAUCAAUUUUAAGUUGCAAUUCUCUCAGUACUGUGAUAACUUCCCCUUGAUUUUUUGCUAUAUGGGAGUAGAUAGAACUCGUUUUGCAUUCUCUUUUCUCUCCCUUAGUCUAUUUAUUAUCAGUCAGAUUCAGGGACAUUCAUAGAUUAGCAAGCAUACUGAUUAAGGGGUAUUUUAAAACGGUUUUUGUUUGGUCGCUGGUGACUACAUAGGCACUUUAACAGGUAAUUAAAAUAACCAAGUAGACCAGUAUUAGUGAGAAGAGACCCCCUCCCCCACCAAAUUGACCAUUUAUCAUGCCGACUGGUAAUGGCUUGUGUAUAUGUGCUAAAUUUAUUAUAUACAGUAUGUUUCAUAGACAAAUACAAACACAUUUGUAGCCAAUCUUUAGGAUACCUCAUUUAUCUUUUUCUUUUAAGUUUAAGUAAGGAUGAUAAUGUUACAGAGAUAAAAUGCUUGAGAUUAUUUUGGGGAAACAAUUUUGUAGGAGAGAUUCUGUGCUUUAUGACCAGCUUAAAGGUUUGUGCUUUGGAUAUUACUCUUCUAAAUCUCUUUAAACCAGGAAUUGAUUUUUGAGUAUUCUUUUUUUUUUUUUAACAGCGUUGCUCUUUAUGUAACAACUUUGAAAUGCAGAGCUGUGGAAAUUCAUGGGUUGAUUUUUCUCUUUUUUAAAGGACUAUAGAAUGUCUACAUUCUCUUGUGUGUGGAGGGUAGAUAAGGUGCUAAUUUAAAACAAGAUUAUGAAUCAGUUAAAAGAUGCUGAUAUUGUAAACUUUUCUCUUAACAAAUUGAGACUUUUUCUUGAAAAUCAGAUACACCGGCAACCUAGAAUAUUAAAACUAUGUUGCCUGAAGUACAUUGUAUGGAACAGUUAAUGCAGAGAUGAUAUCACCUGUUCAAAAUAAAACAUGUAAGAACUCUGUGUGCUCAAUAAUAGCAUAUAUUUUUCUUUUUGGCCUGCAGUUAUAUUUUUGACAAGAGAAAAGCGUUGUAUAUGGAGAAUUUACCUAGAUACUCAUUAUAAUGUGGAUGGAAAUAUAAACUAGAGGUUGAAGUUCUGUACUACACUAAUGACCCAUCCACUUCCUGUUACCUUGAAGUGUUCAUUAUGGUUUGGCAAAAGUUGAUUGCGCCAUCAGGUGCCUUACGAUUUUUUCUUAGUCUUUAUGUUGCUUUCCGAUUUUCUGCUGUGUGGCAUCCGAUUUCUUAAGUUCUCUAUUAACCUUUAUCCUCUUUCCUUAUAUGUGAAAAAUUCCUGUGUGCGUGCGUGUGUGUGUGUGUGUAUGAUACGGGUCAUUGUAUGUGUUUCUUAUUCUUACUGUUGUGAGAUUUGUAGCUACUGCAUUAAAUAUUUGCCUGACUGUGCCUUUGUGAUUCAAAACUGUUUUCUCAUGCUGUCCGUCACAUUUCUGGGAGACUUUUGUUACAUAUUCACUCAGUUAUAAUUCAGUUAAGUGUGUUAAAUCUGCCUUUUUUGGAAAGUGUAACAGUGCACCCUUAUAGUAUGUCAACUCACCCUUGUGGAAAGACAUAUAAUUUCCAGAUGUAAGUCUAUCUAUAGUUUUGUUUCUUCAGUUUUGUUCUCUGUUGAGAUGAUAUGGAGAAAAGUGAUUUUGUGUCCAUUAGACACAAUAUUUAAGUAGAUCCUCUUUGAUAUGAGGUAUGUAUGUGUGUUCUAUAUCAUGUUGUUUUAUUUGCUUAGAAUCUCCCUGACUGUGGGGUAAUUAGGUGAGGAUAUCAAAUUCUUCCUCCUUGAAUUGAAACAGACAUACACACUUUAGUACAUAAUUCCUAUUAAAUGAAGAGCAUUACUUCUAUAUUUGAAGGUUUAAGGUAAUCUGUUGUUACUGGCUUUCUUUUUUUCUUAAGAGAUUUAUUUUUUGCAGAAAGGAAAGAUAGUUGUAAAUGCAGAAACUUUUGAGAUCUAGUGUUUUGAGCUAGAACCAAAUGGGGAGGACUGUCAUUUGAAAAGGGAAUGAUUUCUUUUAUCUUCUCAAGUGCCAAAAUAUAUACUCAGGGUAUUUUUUUCAUCCCAACUUAUAAUUUUCAUAUAUAUACUUGAAGAAUCUUUUUUUCAUGAUGGUUCAUUUUCUCUAGUGAAAAUAUUUAUGAUUUUCUAAUGUAUGUUUUCUAUUUAGCAUUUUGUUAGUAGCACAUGGUGUUACAGUAUUUAUAUAUUUUUAAUAGCAAUAAUUGCCAUCCGGUAAUAGUUGCCAUAUUAACCUCCAAUUGCUAGUAAAUAUUUUUAAGUACAUAAUAGACAGCUAUUUAAGGCAUAGUGUAGCAGUUUACUGGACCAUUUUAAAGAGCCAUUUGUACGUGUGAUGAGUUCAUAAUUUUAAAGAGAAAAUAGUGUACCCAAUACUUGCAUGCUACCAAGUAUGUUGCUGUGUUAUUGCUUGUGAAGUGCUUUGAAAGGAAGUUAGGUUGGAUCUGUUUCUUCUUUGGGAGAAUAAAGGCAGGGGGCUGCUUAUAAGUGUUUAUGCCAGGUGCUUAUAGAGCUAGUCAUUUUCUUUGGAAUAUUUUGGUUAUUUUUUCAUGGUAUUAAGUACUUGGAAAAAAUAUCUUAAGGCAUUCCUUUAAAUAAGGUUAAGUUGUAGUAGUGGAUUGUAUUAGUUAGGUAUGGAAAAAUUGAUUCAUCUUUUUUGUUCACUGGCUUAUUUAGCCUUGUGAGUUAAUUGUAUUCAUCAAACACUUUCAGAGAUCUCUUCUGCUCUUGAGAUUAAUAAAGAAGAUUUCUGUGACCAGUUUGCACUGUAGGCUAUUUGCAAAAUAUAAGUAUUUUCUGUAGUUAUAGUUGUUAAAUUAUUUAAAAUUGAGAUGAAAUUCAGUGUAAAUAGUAAUAAGGUUGCUUAUCUGGGUGUUUUUUUUGGAGCAGCUAAUUCAGUUGUCUCCCAAAAUUUGAUUCAAAGAUAGAGUAGGUAUUUUUCUGAAAUGAUUUGACUUAACUUUUGAUAGAAGAGAAUAAUAAUGUUCGCCUCCUUUGAAUUAGUAGUAGAAUGUACUGAUUUGUUUUUUCUGAAGGUGGAUGGUACAUUUAUGUCAUGGAAGCUAUCCAGUGAGAGAGAUUAGAUAAAGUUUAUGAGAAUUAGUAAUAUGGUUGAAUAUUAAGUAUUAUUAUUAAACUGUGCAUGGUAGCUAUUUAUUAGAAAUGGAGAAAAAGGAUUUCUGCAACAUUGCUAUUAGUGUUAUUUGUUUAAAUUGUACUGGAUGCUAAUCUGCUUUUCAGACUGUGUGUUGUGUAGAGUUGGCCACCAGAAUUUCUAAUGUCAUUGUAAAUUUUCUUAUUUCGAAGAAAUACAUUUAAUGCAUUGCAAAGUGAGGUAACUUGUAGCCUAAAAAUGUUCUGUAGGGUUGAAAAAAUUCACACACAAACAUGCAUGUUUGUUUCUUACAGCUUAGAGUUUUGGAAUUUAUGAAUCAAUAUUUGUGAUGGGUUCUUGCAAUUUAGGACUCCCCCCACUUGAGUCAUUUAACUUCUUUCUGAUCCUACUCAGAUAACUUCCUUUUAUAGUAUAUGCUUCAAUUGUUUAUUUGAAAGAUUUGAAGGUGUUGGCUUUGUUCUGUUGAAAUUCACUACAUUACAUAGGGGAGGUGAUUUUCCAUUAAUCUUGGUAAAUAUUAACAUAAAUGAGGAAUUGUAAAUUAAGACUCAUUUGCAUGAUGAAAUAUGUAUGCUUGCCCAAUUUUUCUUUAGUAUAAAGUUACUUGUAUUAAACAGCAUAGUUUUCUGUCUUUGCUUUAGUUGAUGUAGAAACAGUUUAAAAUUCUUUUAAAAUGCUGUGAUCGGUGUUUAUGUUUUUGAGACAGUUCCGCUACUCUAUUAUAUUGCUUUGUUAUUUAAUUGUUAAAAUCAUGUUGUGUAGAUUAGAUUUUAUCCUCAUAAAUUGGCUAUCAUAGUUUUUGGACCUCUUGUUUUACUUGCAUUUGUAUUAACAUGUUUUAGUUGUUUGGUGGAGCUGUUUUCCUUUUUAGGUUAAUAAAAUGUCUUUUAGAGUACAUUUGGAUUCUAGUCUGAAGAAAAAGAAGAAAGGACUUUUUUUCUUUUUAGAUGAGAAUUAGGAGAAUCAUUUGUGUCCGAGGGAAAAUGUUAUGUCAUUGGCAUCUCUAUACUCUGGUUUAUUGUGUAUAUUUCUGAGUGUUUAUUUUCUGUAGAUGAAUUGUGGUAGAAUCUUAUUAAAACCCUAUUUCAACUACUGUGAAAUAGCACAGAGCCCUAGUUGACGGCUUUCUACUUGUACUUUUUCCAGUACAGUGAAAUUCCAUUAUUGUUAAGGAACUUCCUGAAUUAAUUAUAUUAAAAUUUCAUCUUUUUCUUUAUUUUGUAUAGUUUAAAUUUGUAACUUUAGCUUAAAAAAUUGAAAAGGAAAGAUAAAAAGAAUUAGGUAAACUUGCAGAUAAAUAUUCUUUUCUCAAUCUUCAUUAGAUCUUUCUACUCUAAUAAGUCAAAUUGUCUGCAUUAAUUGGGAAAGAUUUGUUUCAAAUAAAAUGCAUAAUUAAUUGUGAAUAGAAUUUUCAUAAUAUUGAGUGGAAAUUCUAAAGAUUGAUCAUCUAAAAAGGAUAUUAAACUGCAUGAAAACUAUCAUGUCCCCACCACCCGCAAAGAACAUUGAUAAAUUUCUGAGGAAGUAUUUUUGUGUAAGACACAUGAAGCUUCCUCAUAACAGUUCCAUGUUAUUGCAUUAAAUAAGAAAGAUGAUUAAAUCCAUCUGGGCUUAAUUUGAGAGUAAUAAGAAAGGUAUUCAAAAGAGGAUAAUUGGUGUGAAAAAAACAUUUUGUGUUGGCAGUUCUCAUGAUUGAAUUUUAACAUCCUAAAGGGAAACAAGGAAAAACAUAUAUGUAUAUAUACAUAUCUGCUCCAGAACCAGCUUCUAGGUUUUUUUGGCAUAUGUAUGCUUGGUACAAUCCUACUCAUCUUUUUAGUAGGUCAAAUGUCACCUCUUCUGUGAAGCUUUUCCUGCCUUCCACAGGCAGAACUAGUCACUCUUGCUCCUUCUGUGAACCUCCUUCUAUGUACCUCUGAUAAGCAUAUGAGCUUCUGUAGGGCAGUGACCUUGUCUAAAUCAUCUUUGCAUUCUCUUUAUAGUUAGGUACUCAGUAACUGUUUGUUAAAUGAAUGAUUACUGGACAGCUAUUCUCUUCUCCAUCUUAUUCCUUAUGGGAGUUCUCAUUGCCCAUUUAGGUCCUGAUUUCAAUAAUCUUAUUUUUCUUUUAACUUAUUUGGAUGUUUAGCUCUGAGUUCUGAAUGUAUAUUAUCAAGGCUAUAUGUACUGUGGCUUGAUAAUAUUUUAGAUGAGUUCUAGAAAAUGUUUUUUAAGGAGAAUUAUAACUGAUCAAGAGACAUGUGCUUAUCAUACCUUAGAGGAACAGAUGUUCUGUUGGUAUUUAGAUUUUCUUUAGUGUGGUGGGCAUCCUAUAGAUUUUGGAAACUGUGGAGAUUUUGUUUGGGGUUUGAUCUAGAAUUCCUAAAUUUUCAUUCUUUAAGCUGUCCAAAAAGGACUUUUGCUCAACCUUUAGUUACAAGGUUACUUCCCAUGAGUCCAAUAAAAUGGGCAGUGAGCUGGUAAUAGGGCAAACUGAGUUUUUUUUUUCCUAAGAUUGAUUGAUUGAUUAUUUAUUUAUGUAUUUAUGUAUGUAUGUAUGUAUGUAUGUAUGUCAUUAGGGUAUCAUUGAUAUACAAUCUUAUUCUCAGGUUUCACAUGAGCAACAUUGUGGUUACUACAUUCCCCCCUAUUAUCAAGUCCCCACCACAUACCCCAUAACAGUCACUGUCCAUCAGCUUAGUAAGAUGCUAUAGAGUCACUACUUGUCUUCUCUGUGCUAUACUGCCUUCCCUAUGACCCCCCAUAUUAUGUGUGCUAAUUAUAAUGCUUCUUAAUCCCCUUAUUACUAAGAGUUUUUUACUACUAACUAGUCAGAUCAGAUUGGUGGCAUAAUAGUUCUGUGCCUCAGUUAUUUUAAUCUGUAAACUUGAUAGAAAUAUGAAGUGUGAAAAUCAUUUUGAGUAUUUUUUUGAGAAAAGAACUUUGGAUGACUAGAUAAUGUUCUUUAAUAGGAAGGGACUUCUAGCAAAUUCCCACUAAAGUUAAAAAGUAGCCCUAGACAGUGAAGCAGGAAGUUGGAAAGAUGAAAUUAUUUUAAGUAUGGCAGUUAUAUUGUAUUUGUACUUGUUUUGGGGGAGCAGAAGAUUGUUUUUUUUUCUGACUUUCCUCAUAAAUAAGCCAUGAUUGAGAGGAAAAAUGUGAAAUUCAUCUUUGAAUCUUACAACUUUUCAUUUGGGUACAUGAUUUACAGUUGUGUGGUAUGUUUCUUAAAUGCUGGGUGAGUUUUGUUGUGCCAACCCUAAACUAUGACUGGCUAAGCCUGGAACUUGAACUGUGGCUCUUAUUUUGUAGUUUAAGCUAUUAAUUCCUUGGCAGCUUCAGAGUGCUCUUUGAACUUUAAAUAGCAGUACUAUUAACAUUUUGAGAUUUGUCUCAGGGAAUGUCAGAAAUAGUACUUAAUAAAUAUCUUUUUCUUCUUAAAGACUAAAUGAUAUUUUAGUCUGUUGUGUUACAACCCUUACUAUAUUUUGAACAAAGUAUAUAUAUCCUUAACUACUGGCUAAUUUCUAUUUUCCAUUUAAUAAUGUGGCAACAUUUAAAAAUACUGACAGACCUUGUUGAAGGAAGAAAGUCACCCCCCACCCUCAAUCUGUAGUUUUGUGUUAGUCAUACUGAAUAUGAAGUGUCCUAAGUUUUUAGAAUUUUACAUGUAGUUAGUCUCCAGCAUCCUAAAUUAUUAGAAAAAGUUAAUUUCUGAGUUUAUUUUCACAUGAAAACCUACUCUUCUGUUGUUACAAAUGAUGGUUAACCCACCUCCAUUGUAUUGUACUACUUGUGUUACUGAACUCAGAUGCUAUUACGAUGGCAUUUUUACGGGAACGAACUUAAAUAUUUUUUUUGUUUCUGCUUAGAUCAGGAACACCUUUCCUCUGACUAUAUAGUGCUGGCAAUUAGAACAGGCAACUCCUAAAAAACCUUCUUGGCUCCAGGCACUGGGAGUGAGGAUGGCCCAGGCUGUAGGCCCUCUUGUAGGGCUAGGAGAGGAUUGCUGUCUGAAAGAAAGGUUUGAAGAGAGUGUUGAGAGGUGAGGAUGGCCCCCCAAGGGAAGAGUAGCUAGCUGUGUUGGAGUAAGGAUUGAGACAGAUUUUCCUUUCCCUUCCUGCAGGGUUUCACUGCUGCUUCCCCACUGCUGAUACACUUUUAUUAAAACUGGGGGAACAGUGCCAGAUCAUGUGAUGUCCUCAGGAAAAUGUCUUGGCCCUUUAGCUCUUCCCUUACCUUUCCUCCUUCUCUUACUUUGAGAGACAGGCUUUCUACUUGCUAUUUUGUGUGGUAAAUGUGUACUUCUGAGCCCCAGAGAAAUGAAAAAGAGAAUUGGCGAUGAGAUUGGAUGGGGUAGUCAAUAAACUAGUAUUUAGAAAUGUUAAUUUUUUAUAUUAUGUUUAAGAAAUUUAGGCAUAUAAUUCAUUUCAAAUCGUGUACAUACAUCACAAAGGAUGAAAAUCUGGUGGGCUUGUAAAAGGGUCUGAUAUGUAGGAAGAGACCUAAAUGAACUACUUAAUUUCUAAGACAUAUGUUAAGUGUCGAGGGAGAACAACACGGACACAUAGCAUAGUGCCUUGUUCCCAGAAAAACUCAGGGGAGUUUUAUUUAAACUGGAUCUUGGAGGAGUGGAUGGAUGUGGUUUGCUAAAGAGGGGUGGAAAGGACAUUCUUUGGAAACUCAGUUGGCAACUCUGAGUCUGUCCUUGCCCAUAUAUACUGAAGUGUGGUGUGUAGGAGAGCACUUCUGAUUUAUGGUCUUGGUUCUUGGUUUCCUUUAAAAAAAAAAACUUAGUAAAAUCUAAUUUUUGUUAGGUGGAAGAUUUUAAGUGUGGGCAGGCCAAUUUAGAUUAAGAAAUGGUGAUGUUAAAAUAAUCAGUCUUCUAAAAUAAUUCAGUUCAGAACUUUAAAAAAACAGUGUUAUAUUACACAAAAUGCUAAUUACUAAAGUGACAAAUAUUUCAAAAACUGGACAGACGUGAAUCUUAAGUGAGCAGAUGGGAUAUGAAACUAAAAGUGGGAGAUAAUCCAAGAUGAUAUAGAAACUAUUAUGAAAAAUGAAUUGAGGAAAAACAAGUGUGUUAAAUGGUAUUACAUGUAAUAAUGUGUUUAAAAGCCUUUCUAGGAUUGCUCUCUUAAAUAGACAAAACUACAGUUGUUGAACUGUGUCACCCAUCAUUUGUUAAAUUUUGUGCAUUUAAAACAAAUUGGAUUUUGGCCCAGGAUUACUUCUUAUAAAGCCUAGACAUUUAAGUUGUGAAUGUUUAUGUUAUAGGUGCUUUAAAUAAACAAUAUAAUUUGCUUUCUUUGACAUAAAGAAUAAUUAUGAUUUUCAAAGACAGUUUUGGUGGACCUUGAAGUGGGGGAGAGGUAAGAAGUGGAAGGUGAAGAAGAUUGCUUUUUGGGCAGUUGGCACUUAAUUGAAAUCAUUACAUUUGACUGUUGAGGGUAGAAUCUGGGUUAUAGUGGGUCGUGGAAUGAAUGGAUGGUACACUUUUCAGUUGAAGAAGGUUGAUUGUGAAGCAAGCAGGGACAUUGGGAGAGGGGCAGGUAAGAGAUUGAAAGAAAAAUUGAGGGAAAUAAUUUUAGAAGGCUAGAGCCUCAUUUAUGUUUGUAGAUUUAAGAACAGCAAUAGUGGAGAGACAGAAAGAUGGAAAUAAGAAAAGCUGAUAAUAGAAAACAAGUCUGACCAUAGUAUCAAGAACCCAGAUGAUGGGAUUAGCACUGGGAAAGAGUAAGAUAAAAGAUGUGAGAACAUAAAUGAGUAAGUGUGAAGUCAGUGGGGAGAAUCUCAGUUGUAGCUUGAGCAUGCUAAAAUCUGCAUUUCCUUUAUGUGCUUUUUACAAUCAGCCAUUUUUAUUUUUAUUUUCCUUAAUGGUUGUUUUUUAAGUAGGUCAAAUGCAACCUCCUUAAGUUGUACACUUCACAAUUAUAAAACUGAUUUUGAGCUAGUCAUACCAGAACUGAUACACUAUCUGCCCAAAUGAUAGGUAUUUUUCAAAGUAAGCCCCCUUGAAAUGUGUCAAAUUCUGAUGCCAAUGUACACAAUGUUUAUGGUCCUUUUCCUUUGGAAUUGCUUUUAGAGACAGUUUAUCCAGCCACCCGAGAAAAUCUUAUUUUGAAGGAUGGUUCUUUGGUCAGUGUCUUUUCUUUUGUCUUUGUAAUUUAUUAUCUUCUGCUUUUUGCUCUAAGUGUUGCCUAAGUCAGCCAAGUUAGUACCUUCUGAUGGGGGUCUUACUGAUGAUGAGCAAAAAUCCUGGGAAGAGCUCCACUUUUGGAUACAUUUUCAUACAUGCAUUGUAAGUGUGUGUCAAGAAUUUUGGCGCUGCUUUUAGGGCUGCCUCCCAGGUUUUGAGUCUAGAGCUUCAGUGUACUUUGUUUGCUUUCUUAGUUUCAGUGGCAAUGGAUUUAGAGGUCUAUUGGGUAAGAAUUGAUGUUGGGACAAACUACGUUGGGGUGUCAUUUUUGCUUUCUGGGGAUCAAAGCAAAUUAUCAUAAGGGGGGAGUAGAAUUGUUAAGUUGUGCCCUGUAGUGUGUGUUUAGCAAAUCUCAGAUAUCAUCCCAAGGUCCAUUUUGGCAAGACUGAGGUAAUCAUUAAGAAAAGCCUUGGGAUAAAUAAAGCAUCCUGUUGAGAUAAUCUCUUGAGGUUUUUGCAGAAAAUGUGGUCUGUGAGACCAGAAUUCUUACCUUUGCUCACUUAAGUGUUGCUUUACUUAUUUGAGACUGCCUAGUAAGCCUAGUAUCCCACAUAUGUUAUUUUGGCAGUUUCUUCCACAGUUGAAGAUCAGGACAGUAGCACUCAACAUGUAUUUAGAAUUUUACUUCAUCAUGGUUUGCCUGAAUAUUCAGUGCUGGGGGGAGGUAUAGAGGAUGUUUUACCGACAGCAGUCAUGCCUCUGUUGGUUGUUUGGAUUACAAGUUGCAGUGGUAGGUGUUCUUUUCUGUUUUUGAAUUCAGGAAUAGAAUGAGAUUUUUCUCAGCUUUAUUUCUGCGCUUCAGAUUACAUAGAUGAUUUUAAUUAUAAUUCUUUUUAAGUACUUUUCACAUAAAAAGGAAUUGAAAUCUUACAAAAAAUGUGAUAUAAUCCCAGAGCUAUAGAUAUUUUAGGCAAAUUUUCUAAUAUAAUAAUUACCCUAAACAAAAUUUUAUAGAUUUAUAUAAUACCUGGGAAGUUUAACAUUAAGAGAUUAUACCAGAACAUAAAUCUAUACCUUAGUUUACUAAAGACCAUGAAUAUUUACCUUCUGAAAUACAAGUUCUUAAACUAAAGUUGAAGUUACUAAAAACAUUUUUCUAAGUAUAUUGGUUUAUAUACAAAGUGUAAUUAUCUGUAUGGAUUGAUCCCAAAUAGAUUAAAUUUAUUAGUUGUCUGUAAACUACUUUAAAGAGAUUUGUAUGAAAAUGAUACUUUGUUGCUGUUUGGUGAUGGUGGUGAAACUGAGCUUUGUGACCCAGACAGAUAGUGCUAUUCUUGAAUCUGCAAGAUCCUGUAACAUUUAAUUAAACAGCAGAAUAAUUCUCAUGAGAACUCAUUCUUUGAUAUGUAUAAGCUGAUAAACUGGCUUCUUUAGUAAAUUUUAUAAAUUUGAUUUGAAAAAUAAGUAUUUAACUUGUUCUUAGAAGACUUUUCUGAUGAAUUUGUUAAGAUGCAUAGCUUAUUUUGGUAGUUCAUAUGGUAAAUUCAAGGAAUAUUCUAAAUGGAAAAUGAAUGAGACUCACUUAAAGUGGAAACUUAUCUUCUAAAAUAACUUUGAUUUUGUUGCCAAACUUUCUUUUAUAUAGUAGGUGUGAUACACUGUUAAGAAUCCAAAGGAAUGACUUCAACAACUUCCAGAAAACUAAGAAAUUUGGAGAUAGAUGUUAUCAUUCACCUUAGUAAAUUACUUGAUUUAGAUCCUUGUGAUCCACCUUACAUUUUAAUAUUGGAAUUGGAAA